UAGUUGAUGUUUAAUUAAUGAGACAACCUCAACAUGAAUGUAUGAAUAAGAAAGAGAGAAAGUGCAAAUUUAAGGAAAUUCCAGCUGGUUGCUUCAGAUGUUCUGUCUGUUUUUGAUCUUCUCCUUCAUUUCUCAUCUCCGAUGAUUUCUCCCGCUCAGUAAAAUCCAAAGGACAAACAAAAAACAACAACAAAAACAAAACUUUCUUUCAUUUCAAUUCCUUCUCUUUAGAUUGGCAUUUUGCUUCUGGGUCAUUCCCCCAGACCCUUUUCUACAUUCUGGAAUAGGGCAUUAGUAGCUUGUGUUGGAAAUGAUUGUCCAUAACUAAUGUCUGACAUUCGAAUUCUGGAGUAAGGUUCUUCCUCUAUCUUAGAGGAUUUGAGAUCAAGGUGCAAUUUGAGGAGUUUCGUCCUUAUUUGACAGAUGGGGGUGAAUUGACUUUGAGGUUCUCAGAGGCUCCAUCCUACUUGUAAUCUCAUGAAGUGGAGCCGCUCUGAGAUACCUGUUGAAGCAAGAUGAUUGAACAAUUCAUCAAUUUCAUUAUUCGGCCUCCCAGGGCUGAAUAUGAUCCAGAUCAAUACCUAUGGGAAAAGGAAUUCACCCUCGCAGGAAGAACAUACCAAAGGCAGGAUUUGGAGCUCAAGAAUUCCAAAGGCUAUACCUUGAAGUGUAGUCAUUAUCUACCUUCACCUUUCCCUGAAGAUGUUUCUCUUCCUUGUGUUAUAUAUUGCCAUGGGAAUAGUGGAUGUAGGGCAGAUGCCAAUGAAGCUGCUGUUAUUCUUCUUCCAUCAAAUAUUACUGUUUUUACUCUUGACUUUUCGGGGUCAGGCUUAUCUGAUGGGAAUCAUGUUAGCCUUGGUUGGCAUGAAAAAGACGAUCUCAAGGUGGCGGUGUCCCAUUUAAGAAGCAACAAACAAGUAUCUAGGAUUGGUCUUUGGGGACGAUCAAUGGGUGCUGUUACUAGCCUUCUUUAUGGAGCUGAAGACCCUUCUAUUGCUGGAAUGGUGUUGGAUAGUGCCUUUUCAAACUUGUAUGAUCUGAUGUUGGAGCUCGCUGAUGUCUACAAAAUUCGACUUCCAAAGUUCACUGUUAAAAUGGCUGUACAAUACAUGCGGCGGGUUAUAGAGAAGAAGGCAAAGUUUGAUAUUAUGGACCUGAACUGUUUGCAGGUUGCACGGAAGACAUUCAUUCCUGCUUUAUUUGGACAUGGUAAUAAGGAUCAAUUCAUUCAGCCUCACCACUCUGAUCUCAUCUCUGAAUCAUAUAUGGGAGAUAAAAAUGUCAUAAAAUUUGAUGGUGAUCACAACUCCUCUCGACCACAGUUCUUUUAUGAUUCAAUUUCCAUUUUCUUCUACAAUGUCCUCCACCCUCCUCGCAUUCCUAGAGCUCGUAAGCAUGAGAAAUAUUUUGAUUUAGGGGAUUUGAAGAUUGGUUCUGCUGUGAACGAGAGCCUAUUAUGUGAGAUAUUCUCUAGUCUACGGUCUGAAACUACUGAUGAUGCUGCGAGUUCAUCUUCUGCUCCUCCAAUCAUUCCGAACACAGCAUCAGUUAGUGAACUUAUUUCACAAGUUGCUCCAGCAACUGCUGCUGAUUCCAUGAUUAGAGAGGAAUCAGCGCAUGGCAAUGAUGAGCCUGCAGAUAUGAAGGAUGAGCAAAACGGCCCGAAUGAUGAUUAUUACUCAUAUACUAGCUCAGCUAGAGAAAGCUGGGGCAGAUGUUCUUCUUUAGUACUCAGCGAUGAAGAAUCUUGUCAAAAUUUUAGGGAUGAUGAUAAUUGUUCAGAGGUAUUUGCGACACCUUUGGGAAGUUUGAGAGAAAUACCAGCAGAGGCAAAAGAAGAUGGGAAGGAUGAGAAGAAGAAGAAGAAAAAGAAGAAAGCUGAAAGAUCCUCAAAGAAGAUAAAGUCUGACAGGUUUGAGAAGUGGGAGUCCCUAAGUCGGCGGCUGCGGCUUUGCAUUUUGAAGGGAUCUUCCCAUCGGAGACAGAAGUCCUCUUGACUGCUAUUGUGUUACAUAGUUCAUCUAACUAUUUGUUUCAUAACAUCAAUGAAUGAGAUUCAUCUGUCAUUCUCACCUUAUUGCCCAGUGUUGCUAUUAUCUAUGAGAUGUGUUAUUCACACAACAAUUUGUACAACAAAACUUUUUCUCUCUAUCUUUUCCCUUCACAUCACUCAUCAUAUCUCAUAUUUUUCUAUUAUCUCUUAUUUGUUGCUAUUCUUUUGUUCUAAAAUUUGUUGUACAAAUGAUAUUUCUGUCAACAUUGGGGGCAUAAUGUGCUUGUUAUGUUGUGUGGCUGGUUAGCAGGGACACUUUAGCAAGUUCUUUUUAUCU